rnacentral:tRNA from 1 species
GGCCCCGUCAUCUAGCGGCCUAGGAUACCGCCCUCUCACGGCGGGUACGCCGGUUCGAACCCGGUCGGGGCUA